rnacentral:rRNA from 1 species
AGAACGAACGCUGGCGGCAUGCCUAAUACAUGCAAGUCGAACGAACACUUCGGUGUUAGUGGCGCACGGGUGCGUAACGCGUGGAAAUCUGCCCUUGGGUUCGGAAUAACAGUUGGAAACGACUGCUAAUACCGGAUGAUAUCGAAAGAUCAAAGAUUUAUCGCCCAGGGAUGAGCCCGCGUAGGAUUAGCUAGUUGGUGAGGUAAAGGCUCACCAAGGCGACGAUCCUUAGCUGGUCUGAGAGGAUGAUCAGCCACACUGGGACUGAGACACGGCCCAGACUCCGUACGGGAGGCAGCAAGUAGGGAAUA